rnacentral:rRNA from 1 species
UGGGGAAUAUUGGACACUGGGGGCAACCCUGAUCCAGCCAUGCCGCGUGAGUGAUGAAGGCCUUAGGGUUGUAAAGCUCUUUCGCACGCGACGAUGAUGACGGUAGCGUGAGAAGAAGCCCCGGCUAACUUCGUGCCAGCAGCCGCGGUAAUACAGAGGGUGCAAACGUUGCUCGGAAUGACUGGGCGUAAAGCGCGCGCAGGUGGCCCGUUAAGUCGGCUGUGAAAUCCCCUGGCUCAACCAGGGAAGUGCAGUCGAUACUGGCGGGCUCGAGUCCCGGAGAGGGUGGUAGAAUUCCCAGUGUAGAGGUGAAAUUCGUAGAUAUUGGGAGGAAUACCGGUGGCGAAGGCGACCGCCUGGACGGGUACUGACACUGAGGCGCGAAAGCGUGGGGAGCAAACAGGAUUAGAUACCCCCGUAGUCC